rnacentral:misc_RNA from 1 species
GGAAGUAAAAGUCAUAACAAGGUUUCCGUAGGUGAGCCUGCGGAAGGAUCAUUAUUGGAUUUUGAAACUUCAGGCUGCUGCUGGCUCUCCUCGGAGGGCAUGUGCACGCUUGUUGUCCAUUAUUUCUCCCACUGUGCACAAAUUGUAGACCUUUCAGUAGGCCUAUGUUGUUUUUCACAAUCUCUGAAUGUAAUAGAAUGGUUUUGAAUCUUGGGAAAUACAAUACAACUUUCAGCAACGGAUCUCUUGGCUCUC